rnacentral:rRNA from 1 species
AUUGAACGCUGGCGGCAUGCUUUACACAUGCAAGUCGAACGGUAACAGGGUGCUUGCACCGCUGACGAGUGGCGAACGGGUGAGUAAUGCGUCGGAACGUGCCGAGUAGUGGGGGAUAACGCAUCGAAAGGUGUGCUAAUACCGCAUACGUACUGAGGUAGAAAGUGGGGGACCUUCGGGCCUCACGCUAUUCGAGCGGCCGACGUCUGAUUAGCUAGUUGGUGAGGGAAAGGCUCACCAAGGCGGCGAUCAGUAGCGGGUCUGAGAGGAUGAUCCGCCACACUGGGACUGAGACACGGCCCAGACUCCUACGGGAGGCAGCAGUGGGGAAUUUUGGACAAUGGGCGCAAGCCUGAUCCAGCCAUGCCGCGUGUCUGAAGAAGGCCUUCGGGUUGUAAAGGACUUUUGUCCGGGAGCAAAUACCCAGUGCUAAUAACGCUGGGGGCUGAGAGUACCGGAAGAAUAAGCACCGGCUAACUACGUGCCAGCCGCCGCCGUAA